AUACAGAGGGUGCAAGCGUUAAUCGGAAUUACUGGGCGUAAAGCGCGCGUAGGCGGUUUAAUCAGUCGGAUGUGAAAGCCCCGGGCUCAACCUGGGAACUGCAUUCGAUACUGUUAAGCUAGAGUAUGGUAGAGGGAAGUGGAAUUCCAGGUGUAGCGGUGAAAUGCGUAGAUAUCUGGAGGAACAUCAGUGGCGAAGGCGACUUCCUGGACCAAUGCUGACGCUGAGGUGCGAAAGCGUGGGGAGCAAACAGGAUUAGAUACCCUUGUAGUCC
rnacentral:rRNA from 1 species